rnacentral:rRNA from 1 species
UACGUAGGGGGCGAGCGUUGUCCGGAUUUAUUGGGCGUAAAGAGCGUGUAGGCGGCCAGGUAGGUCUGCUGUGAAAACUCGAGGCUCAACCUCGAGACGUCGGCGGAAACCAUCUGGCUAGAGUCCGGAAGAGGAGAGUGGAAUUCCUGGUGUAGCGGUGAAAUGCGCAGAUAUCAGGAGGAACACCAAUAGCGAAGGCAGCUCGCUGGGACGGUACUGACGCUGAGGCGCGAAAGCGUGGGGAGCGAACAGG